rnacentral:rRNA from 1 species
GACGAACGCUGGCGGCGUGCCUAAUACAUGCAAGUAGAACGCUGAAGGAGGAGCUUGCUCUUCUGGAUGAGUUGCGAACGGGUGAGUAACGCGUAGGUAACCUGCCUGGUAGCGGGGGAUAACUAUUGGAAACGAUAGCUAAUACCGCAUAAGAGUAGAUGUUGCAUGACAUUUACUUAAAAGGUGCAAUUGCAUCACUACCAGAUGGACCUGCGUUGUAUUAGCUAGUUGGUGGGGUAACGGCUUACCAAGGCGACGAUACAUAGCCGACCUGAGAGGGUGAUCGGCCACACUGGGACUGAGACACGGCCCAGACUCCUACGGGAGGCAGCAGUAGGGAAUCUUCGGCAAGGGACGGAAGUCUGACCGAGCAACGCCGCGUGAGUGAAGAAGGUUUUCGGAUCGUAAAGCUCUGUUGUAAGAGAAGAACGAGUGUGAGAGUGGAAAGUUCACACUGUGACGGUAGCUUACCAGAAAGGGACGGCUAACUACGUG